rnacentral:lncRNA from 1 species
UGUGAUGGCAGCCCUAGGAAACUAAUGUUAAGUGUCAAAUGAAUCAUAGAAAAAUAAUUCAGUGCUGAACAAGACCAGUUACUGGAGAGAUUUCUGGCAUUGUACAAUUGAUGGGUGACAUUAGGAAGAUAGACCCAUUUUUAGGGUCAUAAUCACAGUUUUAUGCACAGUUUAUAAUUGCAUCGUGUUAAGAUAGGAUACCAAAGGCCAGCCUGUGAGCACAAGGCAUCUUUAGUUCCAUGAGUAUAAUAAGCAAAUGUUUCCUCUGCUGAAACUACAGCCCUGCCCUUGUGUGGUGCCUGCACCUUGAUUUUUUUUUUUUCAGUCAUCUCUAUAGCUUUUCUCUCCUUGGAAAGGUUCCAUCUGCUUUACAACGAUAGUGUUUACUUAGCUGGCUUCCUAGGUUGGAGUAACAGGAGGGAAGAAGAGAAAUUAUUGUAAUUUUUUAGUCUUAAGCUAAAUCUUGAUAUUACUGUCAUAACCCUGGCAAGCAGUUUUCCUGUGAUAGUGUUAUAAGAAAUCUCAACCAUUAAGUAGCAACCACAAUUGUAUUCUCAUUCCCACUAUCUUUUUUUUUCCUUCUUGUUUUGGGUGUUUCUCUGCUGGAGGCAAACUGAGCUCCUGAAUCAUUAGGAUGGACGCGCCAUCAACAGAAUCUGCUUUUAGUGGAAUGGGUCUUCGGAUAAUCUGUUUUCAUCACAUCAAGAGCUAAGCCAGUCAGUUAACACAGAGGAAAUAUUAAAGGCAGUAUUUUUUCAUUAAGCAACCAGCAAGCACUUUAUGGAACUUAAGAAAGGAAGACCCCACAAGUGGACGAAGCUGAGUUAUGUUCUGCUCCCCCCACCCAGAUACAUACAACAGGACUGCCUAUCACAUGCCAACCAGUGCAACUGAAGGAGUCAUGACUACAGUGAUUUAAUGUGGACUUAGGUGGGCUUCACACAAAAACAAGUGGAUUUAUCUCCUGCCCCACCCCCAGGCUUCUUGGAUGACCCACAAUGAAGGACUCCAAAGGAACGUGCUCAAGGGCCGACACAUGUGCAAACCAGAGUGCUGGAGAAUGAACAACUCAUGGGCAAACAUUUGACAAGUGGGAGACAGACCUGAUGGAUAAAGGCUUCUCCCUUUCCCACUCUCCCCUCCUCACCACAAUGGAUGGUCCUGAAAUACAUUUCAUAUGGCUUCUCUGACAGUCUUGAGACAUAUUUCCUUUGGCUUCACGGAAGUUUCUGUGGGAUUAAGCAACCAGCCAACUAAAAGCAGCAGCCAUCCUUGCCUGAGCCUGGACGUGGGAGCCUGGCUGGGAGCUCACCCAUGGCCCCUCCUUGCGUUGUCAAUUUAUUAACCAAUAACCAGCAAAAUAACCAAUUAAAGACUAUGAAAACUUUAUUUAAAAAAAUAGCAAUAAAAUAAAAUAAAAGCAGCAGCCAGCUCAAUAAGGCAUUUUAGUAUUGGCUCUCCCUCCUUACCCCCUUCACUCUUAUCUCUCAUUCCCUCUCCCUGGGAUCAUGCUCCUCAGAAAGUACUAAUGCAUAAGCCCUCAUCACAAGCCCUGUGGAAACAGGGCUAAGGCAGGUAAUAGCUGACAUGCUUUAAAGUGCAUGUGCCCGGCCUGGCCAUCUCACUCUCUGAAAUCUAUCCUGCAGACAAGCUUGCUAAAGUGUUUCAGAAACACAUGUACAAGGAUGUUCACCUGAAGUAUUUUAUGUAAUAGGUAGAGAGGAUCACACUACUAUAGUAUUAAAUGAAAAGAAGGCUGGGCACUGUGGCUCAUGCCUAUAAUCCCAGGACUUUGGGAG